ACUGCUUGAACCCUUGAAGGAUGCAUCUUUUUUUUUUUCUUCUUGGUUCUGAUGUUCAGGUCAAAACUCAGAUGGAAUGCAAAUGUGUGUGCACGAGAAUGAUUAAGGGCCUGGAGGACAAACCGCAUGAGGAAGACAAAGCUGAGAAUCUCUUCAGCAUUGGCUCCAGAUGCAGCAGAUCGAGUGGAUCCAGAGGAAUAUUUGGUCACAACUAAAACAAAGGGAAACGGCAGCAAAGGAGGAACAGAACAGUCCAGCUAAAAUGGGGAGCCCCACGAAUGGACACAAAAUAACUGGAACAUCAAUCAAAGGUUCAAAGAUUCUGAGAUCAUUUAAAAUUUUUAACUGAGAUCAGAUCCCUUUGGGGUACUGCUACCUGCCUAGGAGGCUUAAUUAGACUACCUGCCUGAAAAACAGCAUAUACCAUAUGGGAUUAUUCAUUGAAGCACAUCCACUGAAGUGUAUGAAACAUGAUUUAAAUACUACAGUGCAAGUAGAGCCCUAAUAAUCAACACUGAGAACUGAGGAAGUAUGUUGGAUUUUAUAUAUUUUAAU